ACUGGGCUUGAACUUGAGAUCUUCCUGCUUCAGCACCCCAGAAUGCUGGGAUUACCAUGCCUGGCUAACCUUCACCAUAAUAGCCUGUGGAAGCCACACCAUCACCCAGAUGGGGAAACUGAGGCAGAAAUCAAAAAUCUGCUGGCAGAGUUUGUGCUGAGCAAGGGCGGUGCUGACAGCUAGCUGCGACGACUCCUGCCCACGUUCACGGCCGAGUUCUUCACACGAACACAUGGCGCGGAGCUGUAAACACGCAAGGGCAUGCUGGCCAGCCAUGGGUGGAUGGGUGGGCACGUGGUGGCCGGGGCAUCUAGGGGACUCGUAAGCUGCCCUCCCCCCCCCCGCCCCCGGCCCGCUGCCGCCAGCCCACUGGUGCAGAGCCAGGGUCCGUUGUGCCUCGAGCCAUCCAAUGCGUGGUUAAGCACUUGGGGAAGGAGCAGACCAGGUAACUUCUGCUGUCAGUGAGGACGGUGAGGGGCAACGCGCAGGUCCCGGUCCUCGGACCACUCCCUCUUCCUGCUCCACCACUCCUGUGGCACAGCAGGACCAGCAAAUCCCUCCCAGAUGUUUGAGCAAGUGGGCUGUCAGGCCAUCAGUAAAUGAUGAACAGUUGCCGUGGCAACAGCCCCAGCCCAUGUUUCAUCUCCUGGAGAGCCUGGCAAGCUCCAGUGAUACUGGGGACAGCCAGGCUGGAAGGGAAGGGGCAUUAGCCACCGGCCGCGCGCCAGGUGACACUGAGGCUCGAGCACAGGAUCGGCGUGGCCCAGGUGAGAUCGGGUUUCCAGGGAACAGAGGAGUGGGUUUGGGACAAGACAGGUGAACGGCACAGUCUGGGGAGCUCAGUUCAGAUAGUCUAGCUGACUUCAGUUAAGAGGACAACUGAACCCCACUCUGGGCUUGGCGAGGUGUGUUCUACUGUCCAGGUCAUAGGAUCCCCUAAGCCUCAGUUUCUCCAUCCAUGAGACAGAGGUAGAAAUUGUACCUGCUCUAUCUGGUCUGCACAAACCGGAACAUGUGUAAAGUCCUGGGCACACACAAGCAUCGAAUAAAUGGUCAUUAGCAUGAUCAUUAUUUGUAAAGAGACUUACAUCUCUUACAGAUGAUGAGGAAAAACACUCUGUAGCUGUGUGUGUGUGUGUGUGUGUGUGUGUGUGUGUGCGCGCGCGCGCGCGCGCGCAUCUGUCCACAUAUCACCACCCCUGCCGGUCUCGUGCCUCCGGGCAUUCCUUUCUCCCUUCCUACAGCUGACCUUGAGCAUUCUUCGCUCAAGGUCACCAUUCUCCAGCUUCGUGUAUCUGCAAGGCUUCGUGCUGCCCAUGCUUGAAAGAGCCUUUCACUGAGAACAGACUCCUCCAGUGGCAGUUGGGUCUUUCUUUCUGCCCUUGUCCUGCAGCCAGGCAUCCUUAGCGGGAAGUCUCUUCUUGUCUCCUGAGUGUGACGUAUCUUUUUUCUUUGAAGACUUUCUACUGCCUGCUUGGAGCAGUCUGAGUACCGGAUGCUUGCUGUAGUUCCCUUCUUGCCCCUCGUGCUUGGGGUUCAUCAAGCUUCCUGGAGCCAGGAUUUGAGGCUUACCCGGUCUGGACACUUGUGCCAGCUGUAAUGUCUGCAGGUCUCGCUUUGGAGGUCUGCGACUGCCACGUCUUCAAGCUCAUCGAUCUGUGUUUCUGCAGUGGGUAGUCACAUCCAGCACAAUCUUCAUCUUGGACCGUACAGUCCUCGUCUCCAGGGCUUUGACCUGGGUCUCUUAGCGUGUCCGCACCUCCACCCCACAGCUCCAAUCUUUCCUCUAGCUUUUCAGAUAUGCGGGGUGGAGUCCUCACAGCUGUCUUAAUAUUGCUGUCUGCUAAGCCUAACAUCCAAGUAGUUCCCAGUUGGUUUCAACUAACUGGUUGUUUUUCUCCUUGUGGGACGGGUUUUCCUGCCUUUUUGUUGGAUUUUUUAUUGAAUGCUCAACAUUGUGAAGUUCAC